rnacentral:rRNA from 1 species
GACGAACGCUGGCGGCGUGCUUAACACAUGCAAGUCGAACGGAAAGGCCCUGCUUUUGUGGGGUGCUCGAGUGGCGAACGGGUGAGUAACACGUGAGUAACCUGCCCUUGACUUUGGGAUAACUUCAGGAAACUGGGGCUAAUACCGGAUAGGAGCUCCUGCUGCAUGGUGGGGGUUGGAAAGUUUCGGCGGUUGGGGAUGGACUCGCGGCUUAUCAGCUUGUUGGUGGGGUAGUGGCUUACCAAGGCUUUGACGGGUAGCCGGCCUGCGAGGGUGACCGGCCACAUUGGGACUGGGAUACGGCCCAGACUCCUACGGGAGGCAGCAGUGGGGAAUAUUGCACAAUGGGCGGAAGCCUGAUGCAGCAACGCCGCGUGCGGGAUGACGGCCUUCGGGUUGUAAACCGCUUUCGCCUGUGACGAAGCGUGAGUGACGGUAAUGGGUAAAGAAGCACCGGCUAACUACGUG